rnacentral:misc_RNA from 1 species
UACAGAGACACCAAGCGUUAUUCGGAAUCACUGGGCGUAAAGCGCACGUAGGCGGACUUUUAAGUCAGGGGUGAAAUCCCGGGGCUCAACCUCGGAACUGCCUUUGAUACUGGGAGUCUUGAGGCCGAGAGAGGUGAGUGGAAUUCCGAGUGUAGAGGUGAAAUUCGUAGAUAUUCGGAAGAACACCAGUGGCGAAGGCGGCUCACUGGCUCGAUACUGACGCUGAGGUGCGAAAGCGUGGGGAGCAAACAGG